GACGAACGCUGGCGGCGUGCUUAACACAUGCAAGUCGAACGGUAAGGCCCUUCGGGGUACACGAGUGGCGAACGGGUGAGUAACACGUGGGUGAUCUGCCCUGCACUUCGGGAUAAGACUGGGAAACUGGGUCUAAUACCGGAUAGGACUCCGGACUGCAUGGUCUGGGGUGGAAAGCUUUUGCGGUGUGGGAUGGGCCCGCGGCCUAUCAGCUUGUUGGUGGGGUGAUGGCCUACCAAGGCGACGACGGGUAGCCGGCCUGAGAGGGUGACCGGCCACACUGGGACUGAGAUACGGCCCAGACUCCUACGGGAGGCAGCAGUGGGGAAUAUUGCACAACGGGCGCAAGCCUGAUGCAGCGACGCCGCGUGAGGAAUGACGGCCUUCGGGUUGUAAACCUCUUUCAGCAUCGACGAAGCGAAAGUGACGGUAGGUGCAGAAGAAGGACCGGCCAACUACGUGCCAGCCGCCGCAGUAA
rnacentral:rRNA from 1 species